GAUGAACGCUGGCGGCGUGCCUAAUACAUGCAAGUCGAGCGAACGGACGAGAAGCUUGCUUCUCUGAUGUUAGCGGCGGACGGGUGAGUAACACGUGGAUAACCUACCUAUAAGACUGGGAUAACUUCGGGAAACCGGAGCUAAUACCGGAUAAUAUUUUGAACCGCAUGGUUCAAAAGUGAAAGACGGUCUUGCUGUCACUUAUAGAUGGAACCGCGCUGCAUUAGCUAGUUGGUAAGGUAACGGCUUACCAAGGCAACGAUGCAUAGCCGACCUGAGAGGGUGAUCGGCCACACUGGAACUGAGACACGGUCCAGACUCCUACGGGAGGCAGCAGUAGGGAAUCUUCCGCAAUGGGCGAAAGCCUGACGGAGCAACGCCGCGUGAGUGAUGAAGGUCUUCGGAUCGUAAAACUCUGUUAUUAGGGAAGAACAUAUGUGUAAGUAACUGUGCACAUCUUGACGGUACCUAAUCAGAAAGCCACGGCUACUACGUG
rnacentral:rRNA from 1 species